rnacentral:rRNA from 1 species
AUGGCGGGUGGCGGCGGGGGAGUAGAGGUGAGGACGCCUCGGGAGAUGGAUCGGAAGCUGGAAGUUCCUUCCGAAGCAGAGAUCCUGAGGAUGGAGAUUGCAUCCCUGGUGAACCUGCUCAUGGAGAAGCAGUCUGACAUUCUUCCAUUCGACCCUGAGAUCGCGAGGAAGAUCACGUCCCUGAGGAGCGAGAUCGCAUGCCAAAAGUUGGAUCGCCUAAACUGCUUAUUCAGUUACAUAUUGCAACGGACGGAUGCCUUGUGCGACGAGAUGGCAUCAAUGGCAUCUAUUCUGGCCAAAGUCAGUGUCCCCGUCAUCUCCUAUUACAAGGUCUUCGAUCUGUUAAACGCGGCGCAGAGGUUAUCUAAGAUCUCCCUGGAUAUAUUACAUUCAACCGCGAAUGCAGAUAAAAAGAUGGCUGACCAAAAUGUUGAGGACCAGAGGACCAUGGAGGACAAAGGCAAAUCCAGCACCCACUGUUUUGAGAACCAGGGAACCAAGCAACAUGUGGAUGCAUCUGUAACAGAUCGGACAACGGGCCUUUGUAAAUCAAACAUGGAAACGCCGCAGAUGGCUGCCUACUGUCCUGAUGGCCAGAUGACUGAUGAGGAGGAUGAACAUUUCGUGGCAGCGGAUCCUGUAAGUGGCCUUUGCGACCAGCCGACUGUCCACUCUUAUGAGAACCAGAGUAACAAGGAGUACAUGGAGAUGAUUGAUCCCAUGACAGAUGAAGGCCAAUCAAGCACGGAGACGCAUGCGUCGAGGAUGAUGGACGAGGGCAAUUCAAACAAUCAAGGCAAAUCAAGCAACGAAAGCAAAUCAAGCACAAAGGCAGUGGUGAUGGUGCUGGAUUCCGAUGAGGAGCAUGAAGUGCGGGGUAUGACCAUGGAGAUGCGCAAAUAUUUGAAGAUGCUCGAAUUUGAGGAAGAGGAGGAGGAGGGGAAGAUGACCCCGGAGGAUUUAGCGAUGGCUGACCAAUUUGAAAAGGAGCUAUUAGAGAUGGAAGCCAACUUUCUCAAAGUCCAGGAGCAGGAUGAUAAGGACACGCCAAACUGGAUCUCUGUCUCACAUCAGGACGAGGCAGAGGAGAUGGAGAUGGAGGACAGGUUGUUUGCUAGACGCCGUAAAGGCUGGGAAUCUGCAUGGGGAGACCGCAGUGACUUCGAAGACAUGACCUUAUUGAGUCCUAUGCACUUUACACAUUGCACGCUGGGACUGAUCCCCUACACUGCUAGCACUGUGAGCGCCUUGCAGAUCUACUCUGUCAAGAUUGUUGAAACAAAGGGAAAGUUGAAGUGGCCACUCUAUGUCUACGGGGUCAUCUCUGCCCGAGAUGCCGUAGAUCACAACCGUAACAUUCUCUUCUCUCGGCAAAGGGAAGACUACCAAGAACUCACUCUAGAGGAUCCUUUUUUGCACCUGACUGGCCCGUCUCGGGCUAUUGUGGCUGUGGACAAUGUUGACUUCGAAAUCCAACUUAAAGUAAAGGGCACAACAUGGUCUGGUGACAAAGCAUUGAUCAGUCGCUUCGAGACUUACCCUGGUGGUUAUCGUGAAGGUUUAGAUACGGCGCUCUUCAGCAACUCCUUUUGCACAGUAGAGUUAAGCUUUGAGCGACUUACAGAAACCGUCCACGCUACUAUCUUGAGUGUCUGUGUUGUUGAAGGGUGGCCGUCACCUUUUGAAUAUGGCGGUCGGAUUAUGUGCUCCUCACCACCACAGGAAGUUAAGGACCCCCUAUCCAGGCAUGUUGUGUUGGUUGAUUCUCAUGAUUUUGAUGGAGAAAUGCCAAUGGGCUCAGCUGGUUACGUUGAUCUGUCAAGGCAUGUUGUUUCUGUAGAACUGGGACAUAACCUGCAAGUUGUCCUACAAGCUUACUCACAGUCUGGUGCCAUUGCUAGGCAAAGCCGUCUCACGUUUAGGACCAAAUAUUGCAACAUAAGUCGAGGUAUAUGUGAGAUUGUGACUCUAAGGUGGAGAUUACUGUUGCUUGGUCCCAGCUUAUCAAGAACAAGAUUGAAAUCCUCUAAGGACAUGUUUGAUUGUUCUUGUGGCAUGGAUGCUAUGGAGUAG